UGCUGUCAGAGUGUGGCCCCGCCUCCCUAGUGAUGUCCCGCCUCCCUAGUGAUGUCCCGCCUGAUGCUCAGGGUUAGCUGAGGGACUGGCGCCAAAUCCCGGGGCAAUGGGGCUGUUUGAUGGGAUAAAGCUUAUUGUUCAUUUCUUAGAUUUACUGCAUGUGAAUGACUUGACAUUCAGUUCCCUGGAAAAGUCUGGGGCAGCUCCUGGGGACCCCAGAAAUUACCAACUCCACAAAAUCAUCUAAACAUUUUUAUGCCAAACAGCUUUACUGGGCCUUGUUGACACCAGGCCCCCUGAACAGCCACCUGAGGAGCUGUCUGCAUAUGAGCAAUGCCGAUUCCAGGCUGAAAGUGAGCAUCCUCCCCCCGAACUAGUCCGGGCACAGAUUCCACAUCAUGUUUGGAGGCAUUUUCUGCUGCUGAGCUGCUCAAUGAUUUCUGUAGAACCACCCUUUAGGCCAAAUCCAAUGCAGGAUGUCCCGCUUUGCCUCAUUUCCUGAUUACUUGGUCAUUCAAAUGAAGAAGUUCACUUUUAUCCUUUACUGGGUACCCAAGAGUAAGAGGGGCAAUGGUGCCCCAAAGAAAUGGUGGUAAAACCAAAAUGUAUCAUGCAAGGGAUAGUUACUUUAGCAAAACUUUUGACAGAGAUUAGAGAGCUUUGAUUUUCCACAUGACAUUUACCUUAAAUUUCACCCGAACUGGUUCCAGGUCGCUUUCAAGCCCCACAGUUUGGGAGCCAUUGGCUUAUACAAAUCAAGGCAGUGUGGAAACCUUCCAACCAACAUCUAAACUAGGACCCCUUAAAUGUAGAGAACAUAGAAUAUGGAUGUUGUUCUCAGUGCCCCCAAACCAGGUAGUUAUUUUUGAAUUCCUGACUUGGGGGCAAGU